GGGCCCGCACAAGCGGUGGAGCAUGUGGUUUAAUUCGAUGAUACGCGAGGAACCUUACCAGGGCUUAAAUGUAAGUUGCAUAGAUCAGAGAUGGUCUUUUCUUCGGACUACUUACAAGGUGCUGCAUGGUUGUCGUCAGCUCGUGCCGUGAGGUGUCAGGUUAAGUCCUAUAACGAGCGCAACCCCUGUCGUUAGUUGCCAGCAAGUUAAGUUGGGCACUCUAGCGAGACUGCCGGUGCAAACCGCGAGGAAGGUGGGGAUGACGUCAAAUCAUCACGGCCCUUACGUCCUGGGCUACACACGUGCUACAAUGGCCGGUACAGAGAGCAGCCACUACGCGAGUAGGAGCGAAUCUAUAAAACCGAUCUCAGUUCGGAUCGCAGUCUGCAACUCGACUGCGUGAAGCUGGAAUCGCUAGUAA
rnacentral:rRNA from 1 species